rnacentral:rRNA from 1 species
CCUACGGGGGGCAGCAGUGAGGAAUAUUGGUCAAUGGCCGGAAGGCUGAACCAGCCAUGCCGCGUGAAGGUCAGUGCCCUAUGGGCGUUAAACUUCUUUUGUGCGGGAGCAAUAAUGGUCACGUGUGGCCAGACGAGAGUACCGUACGAAUAAGCAUCGGCUAACUCCGUGCCAGCAGCCGCGGUAAUACGGGGGAUGCAAGCGUUAUCCGGAUUUAUUGGGUUUAAAGGGUGAGUAGGCUGUGAGGUAAGUCAGCGGUGAAAUGCCCCCGCUCAACGGGGUGAAGUGCCAUUGAUACUGCCUGGCUGGAAUGCGGAUGCGGUGGGAGGAAUGUGUGGUGUAGCGGUGAAAUGCAUAGAUAUCACACAGAACACCGAUUGCGAAGGCAUCUCACGAAUCCGCGAUUGACGCUGAUGCACGAAAGCGUGGGUAUCAAACAGGAUUAGAUACCCUUGUAGUC